GAUCGCGAUGAAAUUUUACACUGUGGUAGUAGACAAAAUUUCGCACAAUCUCACCGAAGGGAUCGUCGAAAUAAUGAUUGGAUCAACGGGAAACAUGUGAACAAGUCAGACAUUCGUGCUGUGACGUACAGCCGUGAGGAAUCCGAGCAACACUUAGUGUUUUGGAGUUGGUCGGAGAUUUCACCGUCGGAUCGAAACGAAAUUUCACACCGUCAUAGUAGACACAAUUUCGCACAAUCUCACCGAUGGGAUUGUGGAAAUAAUACUUUAGGCUGCAGAGACUUUGCGAGAGAGGAAGGAGGCAGGAGAAAGAAAAAGAUUAGGCAAAAGGAGAGCAAAAGGAAAUAAAAGAAAAAACGUGAAAAGACCAUCCUACCCU
rnacentral:lncRNA from 1 species